rnacentral:rRNA from 1 species
AUUGAACGCUGGCGGCAUGCCUUACACAUGCAAGUCGAACGGCAGCACGGGAGCAAUCCUGGUGGCGAGUGGCGAACGGGUGAGUAAUGUAUCGGAACGUACCUUUCAGUGGGGGAGUAACGUAGCGAAAGUUACGCUAAUACCUCAUAUUCUGUGAGCAGGAAAGCAGGGGAGUCGCAAGACCUUGCGCUGAUUGAGCGGCCGAUAUCAGAUUAGCUAGUUGGUGAGGUAAAGGCUCACCAAGGCGACGAUCUGUAGCGGGUCUGAGAGGAUGAUCCGCCACACUGGGACUGAGACACGGUCCAGACUCCUACGGGAGGCAGCAGUGGGGAAUUUUGGACAAUGGGCGCAAGCCUGAUCCAGCCAUGCCGCGUGAGUGAAGAAGGCCUCGGUUGUAAGAC